GCAUUGCAUUGCACCAAUGAAACAAAAUUUAAACAUGGUAAACACAAAUUUACGUAGAUCCAUUUUCCUAACUAAAACGUUUUGUCACAAUUAAUGAACUUAAAAGAAAAGAAUCCAGAGUCCAUCCUCUCACCUCACACUGCAACACCCACACAAAAAGCAAAGGAAAGAGAUAAUAGAAUCCUAUGUGCUUUAAUUGCUUUAUCAUUAUUUUUGGGUGAAAAGACAACGGGGUUUUCCCCCUUGGAGUGGGCUUGGGCUAAAUUGGACUAUUAUCAAGCUUGGAAUUGACAUUUAAAGGAAGAAAGGGGCAACAGGAGGUCGUUUCACAAGUUAUUGUUUAUGAAGUCAAAG
rnacentral:misc_RNA from 1 species